ensembl:lncRNA
GUUCAAACAAACCGAAAGAAGGAAUAAACAAUUGCUGCAUUUGAGGUUGUGUUAAUACACAAUUAGUGUAUUAAUUUUUCUGCAAUAAUGCUUUGCUGGUCUCAUGGAAUAGGAGAAAUGGGAGCAUUGAUUACACAGCAGAAAUCAAUAUCAGCCAUGCAACUGACUUAGAAUACAUCAAAAACUUCGUUCUUUGAGUUUAUCAUUAUGUGAACAGGGCAGGGCAACACAUGGAUCAGGAUUGAGACAUCUGCCCUUGAAGACUUGAGAAACAAUGUGAAUAAGGACAGAUGCAAUGAAAUGGUGAAGAUGAAGAAAGUUGCGUGAUGUCAUGAAGAGGCCAUAGUUCUUAUCCCAGGAAGCAUGUGCUUUGUUCCUACCUUAGCCCAGUAUGUUCAAAUGUUGACAUCCCUGGAGACAUGCUCUUUGCCUGAGGAGUCACUGGAGGAAAAAGAGACAAAAUGCUGAAGCAGGAAGUAUAUUGAGGAUGACUUGUGACUAAAAAGCUAGAGUCUGAGCAGAAAAGUAACAGCUACAGGUCUCCAGUGAGUUCUACAAAGGAUACACCGACAAUUAAGACACUGUCCUGGGGUGUGGGAUGUAAAGAUGUGUGUCCUGCUUCAAUGAGCAUAAAUAGCUGGCUUGAUAUAGAUUCCUCUGAACUAUGCAUAGAGACUGGAUCUUCAGUCUGUCUGAGGCCAGAACAGCCCCUUAACCUGGAGGCAAGGCAAGCUUUUUUUUUCUUUGUUUUCUUUGGUCUCAGUUAAUGAUAAAAGUUGGAAAGCUUUUUACUAGAUUGAAUGGCUGUUUUCAAAUUAGCAAAUGUAGGUGUUUGCAUAGAUUUCACAGUGUCUGUGUGACCUAUAUGAAGACAUAUGUAUGAAGACAUCUCCUGAGCGCAGAGCAGCAACCUAAGUCAAUUACAACCUUCUGAGGCAAAUAUAUAGCUUUACUAGAAUUGGUGGUUGUGCAAGAUUAACCUAAAAUCUCUGUCACAAAGAAGAGGCAUAUGGUUUAUCCCUAUGGUUUUCCUUGAUAUACACAUGAAUCAAAAAGGAAGAUUUAUCAGAUGUUAUAUUCCAUGGUGAAGGUUUUAUUAGAUUGUACAGUUUCUCUUGUUCUUACAGAGUUGUCUAUUGGGCAGUGUACAAAUGGAAUAUCUGUAAUGGACUGGGCUGGAAUCCAUGUGGUGUCUGCUACCUGAAAUAGUGACAGUCCAUUAGAAACACACUUUCUACUUUUGGUGCCCAAUCAAGUCUCUGUUGACAAGUAAGUUGGCUUCAAUUUUGAGGGCUCAGCUUAGGAGUUCAUUAAUUGGCAAGACAAGAGUUGGUCACUAAAAAUAAAUCACCUGUUGGAGAAGAUUAAUGAAAGAGAAAUUAUAUUGUCCUGUCUUUUAAUCAGAUAAUGACCUUAGAGAAAUACCUUUGUUCUAAUUCUACUGAUAUCAGGAUAGUCAGAAUUGUGUUUGUUUUAACAAAGACCACCUGUAAUCUUAGUGAUUAUUAUUUAUGCAUGCAUGCAUGCAUGUAUCAUUCAUAGCAAGAAGCAGUGCAAUUCAGCAACAUCCAUUUAAAUGAUUAAAGCCCACGCUAGAUGUGCUCUAAAUAAUUUUGGUUUUGAUGUUGUUAUAGUAUAGACUAUGUAGCUAGCAGUGCUGCUGAUCUGAAUUCAACUCCUAUUAUUUAAGUGCUUUCAUUCAUAAAAGACUGACGUAAAGAGACAAAACCUCAGGGACAAAGAUCACGGAGAUGUUCAGAAAGAGCCAGUUUCUGGUGGUUAUCAAAUGUGUACCAGGGAGAAGAGAGUGCAUUUUCCAUCAUAUUGGGAGCAAUCAAACUCAGUACUUGCUCUGCACCCAGGUGCUGGCAGGUCCCAAAGCAGUGUGGUAGCUAGCAUAAUUAACCUGUGGAUAAUAAGGUGUGGAGCAGGGAGUACACUGAAUAUCUAUUAAUUCUGCAGCAGUUGGCAUGGGUUCUAUCAUAUGCUUAAUUUCUUCCUUGAGGGAAGGAGAGAAAUUCACCUCCAAUUUUAAAAAUUUGUCACGCACUAGUUUUAAAGGAAAAAAUUCUAUUUACCACUGUUAACAGUAAUAACAGAAAUAACUACAGGAAAAAAAAUAGAAAAACAAACAAAAAAACGAUAGCUAUAAGAGAGAACUAAAUCUCUCUAAGCAUAAAGAAAACACUCUUUCCUGUGAAUUUGUGUGAAUACUUUCCAGUCUGAGAAUUACACAGUGAAGAAACUCCCAAGUGAUUUUAAAUGUUGAAGACAGCAAAAUUUUAUGAUCCUUUCACUGCAGAAAAUCUUGAGCUUAUCCCUUCCCUUUAUCUUCUAUUUCAGCAGUUCUAGAUUAAAUAAUUAUACAAAAAAUACACAUUCAGUAAUCAAUUUCAUAUCAUUCACUUGGCUCUAAUAAAAGUCAACCUUCUCAUGUCAGCCUCUGCAUAUGGACAAAUAGAUCACUAUAUGAAUCAGCAGUGUAUGACUAUUAACCUAGUGGCCAGUGAAUCCAAGUACAUGGAUGAUAACCCUUCUGUAAUGAUUCAACAUACACUGAAAAAUGAACUGAUUUAUGAAGAGGAAAAACUGUGGAUAUGACAUGAAGAAUAAACUGCCAUUGUUUUUUUCUCUUAUUCUUUUGAAAUUAUUUAUGCAAUUAAAUAUCACUUACUUACACUUCCUCUGACAGAAAACAUUGCAUAGUAAUAAUAAUAAUAAUAAUAAUAAAAAUCAUAGUCUGGCAAAUGAGCUGAAAGUUCUUUCCUCAUUUUGCUCUCAGCAUUAUUUGGAUCACAAUGCAUGUUUGCUACUUAAAUGCAGUAUUCAAUUUCAUGUGCCUGCUGAUUAAUACUAUCUUUUAUAUGUUAGAUACUUGCAUAAACACAACACUGACUCAUUCACAUCCUGUCAUUUAUUUAAAAUGUUUUAAUUCUGGAAGACCUUAUUGUAUGAAAACUAUGAAACAUUGUCAAGUGAACAGAAAUAUCCAAUUAUUUUCCUCUUAGAUGAGAGUCUACAUUAGACAAUUUCUCCAUUUCAAAAAUGAAAAAACAAUUUGGCAUAAUUUUCCCUGCAGAAAUGUCUAAGGUAUUGUGUUCCAAAUAGCAGGAACAGUUGGCUAAUAAAGCAAGCUGAAGUUCAAGCACCAUUAUGUCCUAUCCCAAUGUUUUAAUUUCACCUUGGCUAAGCCAACUGAUCAUAUUUUCAGAGAUCAUGUUAUAUAGCAAUGCUUUCCUCAUUACCCAUGUGACUUUAAUACGGCACAAUACUCUUUCUGAGAUAGAAUUUGCCAACACCCGUGUAAAUGCUGAUAAAAAUAAUCCCUAAAGGGAAGGAAGUCAUAUAUAUAUGUGUGUGUGUGUGUGUGUGUGUGUAUAAAAGAAGAAUAUUUACUGGCUUCCAAAAUCAAAGUUUUCUUUUCAGAGCUUCAGUCAUUUAUACUUCAUGUAACUAAAGGAAAGGAGGACUGGUACUUCUGAACUCUUAGUGGUUUAUAACAUUGCAGUUCUGAUUAUUUAAGCUAUUUUUUUUUUCUGUUACUUGAGUUAAAAAUACUAAUCUAUACAUUUUUAACAUCUUUUCUUUCAACUAGUGUUCAUCCCUCUUGACUAGAAGACAUUUUCUGCUCUGAACUGUAAACACACAACUCUGAACUUCUCUUUACAUCAGUGAGAUAAAAAUAACUCAGACUUCUCUCUUUCACCUGAAAAUGGGUCAUAAUUCCCCCUAUCUUCCAAGGAUUUGGGAGUGGGGCAUCACUUCCAACUUUUUUUCCUUUAACGUGCCAAUAAAACUCUAGAUUCCUGUGAGAGGAGAAAGAAAUAAAUCUCUACAUAGAGGCAUGUUAACAUAAACUCAUGCAGUAGGUGAAGUGUCACUGAACUGUUGUGCAGUUUUCUCUAGGAGCGGUCUCUACUGGACCAUGCCCAGAGGGAAAAAGAAAGCAUCAGGCCUGGUGGUGCUGUAGAGGAAGAGAGAUGCUGAAGGAAUUAUUGGGUCCAAAUAGCUGUUGGAUAUUCAUCCAGGGUUCCUAGUGGAACCGACUAUUUAUAUAGUCUGUUAUAUAUAGAAUAUAGAACUUUUAUAUAGAACUUUUAGUAUAUAGAACUGUUUAUAUAGUAUAUAGAACAGACUAUUUAUAUAGUCUGUUAAGAACCAAUGUUAAAAUUAGUCCAAUGUUCUGGGAAUUAUAAUAAGUUAGGUAGAUAAUCCAUCCACAAGACAAUAUUGUCGCUACUAACAGCCAAACAAUGUUGGAGUCGUGUUCUGUUAAGAAGUCUUCCAACUGAGUGAUACUUGGGACAAAGCUAUCAUUUUUUCUUUGAUCCAUUGCUAAAUUGUUUCUGUACCAGCACCUAUAGAAGCCAUCCCCCUCCGCAGCAGCUCCACUAGGAACCCACUGUCCAAGUGGCUUCUGGACAGUGGAAUAGUUGACAGAUGGCAGACUGGUUUAGGUUGGGAGGGACCUCUGGAGGUCAUCUGGUCCAAAUCUCAAACUCUUUACCUCAGAACACAGGAAUUACAGGCAGGGGCAAACAGCUCUCAUACAACAGGUUCAGGAUCUUGUUUGACUCUUUCAGCAAAUAUGUCUUAUAUUCUUGAACCCACAAAACAUCUCUUCCUCUAAAUAUAUUGUCUCUGUAAUUAUAGUGGAUCUGAUACCAAUUUUUAUUUUUUUUCUCAACUGAAAACUGAGUUUAUAUGCUCAUAUUUUUGCCCAGAUAGCAGUGCACACUCACUCAAAACCUCUAUUGUGGAGUACUUCAAAACUUAACACUGUUUGAAACGCCUUGAAGCUGCAACUGACAUGAUCUUCUUUAAAACUUGUGUUCAUAUGUGUACUCUUACUUUUAGUACAAUCAUAGGUUAUCAAACCAGAAUGCCAAUCAUUUACUUCCUUUCUUACUUCUGUUUAUAUUUCAGCUGUUUACCUGACUGUAGGUUACUUUUACAUGCCUUUACUUAUUGAAAAAGAAAAGAAAAAAAAAAAAAGGGGAAACAGCAAGCAGUAUAGCUUUUUGCAGCAAACGUGCAAGUAUGGGUAAUUAUGAAGUAGAAAAGUGAUCAAAAGUGAUCAUUUAAUCUCCAUAAGUUGAAAAAGGGAAAUUCCACGGCAGCAAUAACUUUCCUUUUCCUUUAGGCACUGGAGUAGCAUUUUCUGUAUUUUGUUAUGUUGGGAAUGUUAAUGUACAAGACAGGUCUGGUCAUCCAUCAUCCAGAAAAAUGAAUUUGACAAAUUUGAACAGUUUAGAAAACAUUUACUGUCAAAAUGUUCAGGAUCUGGAUAACCUCUUUAAGGCUGCAACAAGCUUGUUCUAAGGAAGUGAGAGGAAGAUAGCCUGCAGCUGUGUACGAGGUGCAAGUAGAGGCAGGAAGUAGAUUCUCAAGGUAAAGAGCUAUGUGUGCACUGAAUAGGAAAUUAGAUCAGGAAUUAGAUUCCAAACAACCAAAAGAAUAGCUAUAUAAUACAGUCUUUUUAAUGGAAAAUAUAUCAGCAGCAAAUCUGAAUGAGUUUUGUUAUUUUAUAAGUAUAGUGGAUGUAUGAAUGUGCCAUGUGAUAUAUUCAUGCAAUGACAAUACUGAGGACAUUCCUUCUAGUCUCAUGUUGAUUCUCUUACACUCCAUUUCCAGGAGCAGAUUUUUCAGAAACUUAUUUUUCUUUUUUCAAGCCUUACUUCUACAAAUGUAAAGCCUUUGAGAUUCUGUUCUUUACGUAUGUUUUUCUUAGAAAAAGAAUUAAGCAUCUUUCUUGAAAUCUCUACAUAUCACAUAGGGAAAAAUCAAAGAAAUACAAAUAAUUUAUUGAUGUAUUUUUACUUCCUCUAGGUAGCGUCUUAUAGAUGCAUUAGCCUUUUAAACAGUAUUGUUUAUGAAAGACUUAUUAGAACUUGUUUGUUUUUGUUUGGGUUUGGUUUGUUCUGUUUUUCUUUAUGUUAUGCAUUCACUGACCUAUUUUGUUGUAAUAGAUGUAAAAAGACAUUGGUAAUCUCCACCUAAUGAGACUUACCUAAUUGAUUAUUGAAUGUAAUUUUCUACAUUUUCUCUUUUAAAACAGGUGGGAAUGAAAAAUAAAUGAGAACCUCUUUCAUGAAGUUCUUUUUAUUUGUUAUCAGUCUUUUCAUUGAUGUCAAAUCCUACAACUGAAAUUUCAGUUAAGAGCAAUAUAUACCACACUCCUAGAUGCAGUUUCAUGCAUACCAUAAUAAUGAGAAAGACAGUUAAAUUUAAUAUUUCAUAUAAAAAGAUUACAAUUAUCUCUUAUCUAGCAUUCUUGCUACAGAAACACUGUUUUGGGAGGCUAAGGAGAGAGCAGGAGAUGGCUUUGAUCAUAUCCGUACUGGAAAUUCUGAGAGAUUUUUUUUAUUCCUUUCCAAAUUUUUAUGCAUAAAUUAAACAGGAGCAUGUUGUGAACCCCAGUCCCAGGUUGUCACAGAUUCCCCAGGGUUCGGAGAACCAGAAUCUAGUCAGUUUGCUGGCUGAGCCGCGUGGGGAGUGAUGACAUGACCCAAUAUGAGUGCAUCAAAAUCUCCAUUUAUUAUCCGUUGCUUACACACAUAUAUAGAUUGUGGCGAAUGUGCAUCAGCUUGUAAUUGGUUGAAGCAUUAUGAGAGCCCCCGGCCCUACAAUACCAUUGGCCGUGGAAUCACACAUCUUGCUCGCAUAGCUACUGAUACAGCAUUAAUCUUCGCAUUGUUCUUUGUAUUCCAUUACUCAGUCUCUUCCCAGGCUAGCUUCCCCCUUAUCUUAGCUACAGCCUCAGCUUCUUCUUUGUGCUUUCAUAGCCUCAAGGUCUCCUAGCCUGAGUUGUGCACAUAGCACCCGAGCUUAGCAAGUUCUUGCUCCCUGAGCUAUCAUAGCAAGCUAGUACUUUUCCAUUUGUAUUUUUUGCCAAUUGUUAGGCCUGUCCUGCUUGUACAACUGUUCAAGAGACCCAUGGCCCCCUUGGUUGUGGAGCCAUUCCUCAACAGGAGAAUACUCUCUAAAGGAUCUGGAGAUCAAAAUAAUUUCCAUUAUCAUCUGAAGAAGCCAAUAGCAUCCUCAAAGGGCAAAACUAAACUGAAUCAUCUUAUCCUGAAGUUUGUCUCAUGCUCCCCAGCUGCUACUGUGCUUUCACAUCCAGAGAAUCAGAGAAGAGCUACUCCAUAGAAAAUGCUCACCAGCACAUAAGGUUUGGAUAUCAAGUUGAUCACAACAAAUUUUUAAACAUAUACAAAAUCAGGAGGAAAUCUCUUGUAUUAGACUUCAGUUUGAUGUUUGAUAUUUGAAAGAAUCAUAACAAAGUCCCUUAAACCUUCUAGCCAUAAAGUCUUUUAAGACAUUUCAUUUAAAAUCAAUAUUUACACUUUGGAAAAAAAGAAAAAUAAUAAAAGCUUUUGACCACUCUUGACUAAAGUUGCUACCAAAAAUUAAAAAGGAUUUUUUUGUUUGUUUAUUUGUUUGUUUGUUUGUUUGUUUUAUUUUGUUUGUUUGUUUGUUUUGCUUAACCUCCAUCAACAUGAAUAAAGUAAAAAUCAAACCCCUGAAAACAUGGCA